CCGGUCGGCCUAUGGAACCACNGUUGUGUGCCUCCGUGCAUUACGUCGAAGGCAAAUACGCCCUCUAAUCGGUGUGGGCUUGCACACACCGGUGGGGCUUGAUAGAAAUUCAAGUCUUGGCGCUGUACCCUAACGAGAAAGCGAUGAUGGCCCGAUGAGAAUGACGAAUCGUGAAAGCGAUGAUGACCCGGAGAGCCCCAAAUCGUGAAAGCGUUAGGCGAGAGUGUCAKCAAGCUCNANAUGGGUACCGUCGCAUGUGGNAAGGGUUGCUACUUGGUCUUGCCUAUAUAUAUGUGUCUGAUCGGACUUGUUUCUCAUGCCUCGUUAACGAUCAUGUUGGUGAGCGUUGAUUGAGCCUUUGCUUUUGAUCNAAUGGCAUAUCUACGGGGUUGUUUGGUCUCUGUUGCGCGAGCAACAUGAGAAACCAGUUCCUUCUACGUUGAUAUAUAUAAGCAAGCGAUGACGCAAUCGUUCUUACAUGCCACGGUACCCUUCUCGAUUGUCCCUUCCCGACCGACCCUUCCAGACCGACCCUUCCAGACCGACCCUUCCAGACCGACCCUUCCAGACCGACCCUUCCAGAUCGACCCUUCCUGAUCGACCCUUCCUGAUUUUCCCAUCGUUCGGGGCAUUCUGGGGCUGUUUCGGCUAUUGGUUGCUUGUUUGGUCUUGAGCUGAACGGGUGGCUUCUAGUUUGGUGGCUUCGGGGAUGUUGACCGUAAAGGUGGAUGAGUGGUGUUUGGUUUGUUACGUGUGGUUGGCUGCUGCGUUUGCAACAACUUCCAUGCUUUCAGACCUCUUCAGUUGUGCGGCAAGGCUUGUAUCGCCUUGAACGUACUGUGGGUUUUCUGUGUUGGCUACCUAAUCAACGGUAUCGGUUGGAUUGAUCAAAGUUUGAUUUCGUCUUCCGUCGCAUUCGCGGCGUGAGGUGAACCUCGAUGCGGUCUCUUUGAUCCACCUCGUUGAAGCACAUGCUUCGGCGUUGUGGCACAUUGAGCAUUGCUUGGUCUCUUGUAUACGGAACAUAUAGUGGGCAUGGAUCUAACGAUUCUCGUUUGCCCUCAUAUUAGCGUAACGCUUCUCUAACACGACUCGCGCC
rnacentral:misc_RNA from 1 species